rnacentral:rRNA from 1 species
UACGUAGGGUGCAGGCGUUGUCCGGAAUUAUUGGGCGUAAAGAGCUCGUAGGCGGUUUGUCGCGUCGGAUGUGAAACCCCGGGGCUUAACCCCGGGCCUGCAUUCGAUACGGGCUGACUAGAGUUCGGCAGGGGAGACUGGAAUUCCUGGUGUAGCGGUGAAAUGCGCAGAUAUCAGGAGGAACACCGGUGGCGAAGGCGGGUCUCUGGGCCGAUACUGACGCUGAGGAGCGAAAGCGUGGGGAGCAAACAGG